rnacentral:rRNA from 1 species
AUUGAACGCUGGCGGCAUGCCUUACACAUGCAAGUCGAACGGCAGCGGACCUUCGGGUGCCGGCGAGUGGCGAACGGGUGAGUAAAGUAUCGGAACGUACCUUUCAGUGGGGGAUAACGUAGCGAAAGUUACGCUAAUACCGCAUAUUCUGUGAGCAGGAAAGCGGGGGAUCGCAAGACCUCGCGCUAUUGGAGCGGCCGAUAUCAGAUUAGGUAGUUGGUGGGGUAAAAGCCUACCAAGCCGACGAUCUGUAGCUGGUCUGAGAGGACGACCAGCCACACUGGGACUGAGACACGGCCCAGACUCCUACGGGAGGCAGCAGUGGGGAAUUUUGGACAAUGGGCGCAAGCCUGAUCCAGCCAUGCCGCGUGCGGGAAGAAGGCCUUCGGUGUAACCGCUUUGUCAGGGAGAAAUACUUCUGGGUUAAGUACCUCGGGAGGAGUGACGGUACCUGAAGGAAUAAGCACCGGCUAACUACGUGCCAGCAGCCGCGGUAAAGAGUAGUAGGA